AUUGAACGCUGGCGGCAGGCCUAACACAUGCAAGUCGAACGGUAACAGGAAGAAGCUUGCUUCUUUGCUGUCGAGUGGCGGACGGGUGAGUAAUGUCUGGGAAACUGCCUGAUGGCGGGGGAUAACUACUGGAAACGGUAGCUAAUACCGCAUAACGUCGCAAGACCAAAGAGGGGGACCUUCGGGCCUUUUGCCAUCGGAUGUGCCCAGAUGGGAUUAGCUAGUAGGUGGGGUAACGGCUCACCUAGGCGACGAUCCCUAGCUGGUCUGAGAGGAUGACCAGCCACACUGGAACUGAGACACGGUCCAGACUCCUACGGGAGGCAGCAGUGGGGAAUAUUGCACAAUGGGCGCAAGCCUGAUGCAGCCAUGCCGCGUGUAUGAAGAAGGCCUUCGGGUUGUAAAGUACUUUCAGCGGGGAGGAAGGGAGUAAAGUUAAUACCUUUGCUCAUUGACGUUACCCGAAGAAGAAGCACCGGCUAACUCCGUG
rnacentral:rRNA from 1 species